AUGCAAGUCGAGCGGUAGAGAGAAGCUUGCUUCUCUUGAGAGCGGCGGACGGGUGAGUAAUGCCUAGGAAUCUGCCUGGUAGUGGGGGAUAACGUUCGGAAACGGACGCUAAUACCGCAUACGUCCUACGGGAGAAAGCAGGGGACCUUCGGGCCUUGCGCUAUCAGAUGAGCCUAGGUCGGAUUAGCUAGUUGGUGAGGUAAUGGCUCACCAAGGCGACGAUCCGUAACUGGUCUGAGAGGAUGAUCAGUCACACUGGAACUGAGACACGGUCCAGACUCCUACGGGAGGCAGCAGUGGGGAAUAUUGGACAAUGGGCGAAAGCCUGAUCCAGCCAUGCCGCGUGUGUGAAGAAGGUCUUCGGAUUGUAAAGCACUUUAAGUUGGGAGGAAGGGUUGUAGAUUAAUACUCUGCAAUUUUGACGUUACCGACAGAAUAAGCACCGGCUAACUCUGUGCCAGCAGCCGCGGUAAUACAGAGGGUGCAAGCGUUAAUCGGAAUUACUGGGCGUAAAGCGCGCGUAGGUGGUUUGUUAAGUUGGAUGUGAAAUCCCCGGGCUCAACCUGGGAACUGCAUUCAAAACUGACUGACUAGAGUAUGGUAGAGGGUGGUGGAAUUUCCUGUGUAGCGGUGAAAUGCGUAGAUAUAGGAAGGAACACCAGUGGCGAAGGCGACCACCUGGACUAAUACUGACACUGAGGUGCGAAAGCGUGGGGAGCAAACAGGAUUAGAUACCCUGGUAGUCCACGCCGUAAACGAUGUCAACUAGCCGUUGGAAGCCUUGAGC
rnacentral:rRNA from 1 species